rnacentral:lncRNA from 1 species
GAAAUCCCAAGCACUCACCGAGGACGCCGUAACGUCCAAAGGCUUUUUCCUCCGGUCCAUGCUCACGACGGAGGACCCGCCGCCACCUGUCUCCCCCGCAGACUUCCUAAACCCCCAUGUGGGGUACCAGGAAGUACCUUUGACUGCGACGCUGAGCUUCCAAACAAAAGAUGACUAAGACGGAAUCAGCCUCCCACUUGCUUACUCCAGAUGAGACCCUGCCUCAGGGUUCCUACCUGACCCAGGUGUGAGCUCAGUCUGUCUGAGGGUUUUGCUGAGGCAGCUGGGACAGAUGGUGCUGCUGUAGCCAUCUUGUGCUUAAGAGGAAAAGCCUGUCGAAGAAUGGAGCCCGCUUGAAGGCUAUGGAGAAGACAGGCACAGAGUGCGCUCCAGCACAGGUGUGGCUCAGCAUGGGCAGCACAGGGUAUGUCGGGGAUGCACCAUCUGUGCCAAUGCGACAGCUGCCAGCUAUCAGGAAAUUAACCAGCCCAUCACAACCAGCUGUGCAGCAGCCGCAGCAUGGGGCACGAUGCCCCCUUUCUGGCAGGGUCAUUGGUGCAGCUGCAUGGAGGACCUAUGAGGCUGGGUAUGAGCUGUCUAUGCACUUGAGGCACACAAGAGUUGCUGUUUCCUGCUGCUCCAAUAAAAAAGUGUCUUCCUGGGGAUUUGGAGAAGAAGCAAAAGCAAAUCAGACCCCAACUCUCAGGCACUCAGGAGCCUCAUUAGUGUGUGUAGUGCUCCGGUGACAGAUUGGCUUCCUCCUGCGCAGCCUCAGCACAGAGCCUGUCUGCUGACCAAACUCAACACUGCUGACCACCGGGUGCAUUGCCAAUGGAGCAGCGCAGAAGUGACCAUGUGCCAUGAGAACAAACCAGAUCCCACAGCUGGAGGAUGGUGAGCCCAGGAGCCCAACUUAUGGCCCAGGCCAGUUUGGAGCCACCUAACCCUCAACAUGGGAGAGAACCCAGUUCUCAAAGAACCAGGACGUCUUCAGUCGAUGCCAUCUUGCCAUUGAGUGCCACAGCGUCACGGGACCCUUGAGGCCUCAGCUGUGACUGGAGGCAGAGUUAUGUUUCCACAUGCCAUAGCCGGCUCUCCGGCAAGGUGACAUGGAGCUUUAGACAGCUAUAGUCAUACUUUAAUUAUGAAGUAAUUUUCCCCAGAAUUUGUGUAGAAAUGCUCCCAACAGAACAGGACAUCCUGAUGCCAAGCCCAUGCGUACCUCUCUCCCAGGCACGGGGCACCUUUGUGAGGUCAUGAAUUGAUAUUGGCGUAGGUGGACUCACACUCGGUGGGACUCCGGAAGUGGGAAUCCUUCCUCUGGUCCUGACCAGUAUGGUGAGGGGCCUUGGGCUCUGCCCACCCUCACUGAGACAGUUUAAUUUUUUUUUUGGCAGACCUGGGGGUGAACCCCAGGGCUCUCACAUGCCAAGCACAC